rnacentral:rRNA from 1 species
GACGUAGGUGGCAAGCGUUAUCCGGAUUUACUGGGCGUAAAGCGUGUGCAGGCUGCUGACCAAGUGGUGUAUGAAAGCGCCCGGCUCAACCGGGCAAUGGUAUGCCAGACUGGUCGGCUCGAGACCGAGAGAGGGACGUGGAAUUCCGGGUGUAGUGGUGAAAUGCGUAGAGAUCCGGAGGAACCCCAGAGGCGAAGGCGGCGUCCUGGCUCGGUUCUGACGCUCAGACACGACAGCAUGGGGAGCGAACGGG